rnacentral:lncRNA from 1 species
AUGAUUUUUAUAGUGUUACAAAUUUUAGUGUAAAAAAAAUUUAUAAUUUUUUUUUAAUAAAAGCUUCAAAUGAAAAUUUGAUUUGAAUAGUUAUUCUUAAAAUGUUAUUUUAGGUAUUUCAUCAUUUUAUCGAAACUUUUUUUGGAUAUCAAAUUUUCAAUAAAUACUUAAUUUUGAAGCUAUUUCAAAUAGCUUUUCAUAAAAAUCAUUUUUAAGAUACAACUUUUUGAAAAAAUUGUGAUUUUGAC